AGUGAACGCUGGCGGUAGGCCUAACACAUGCAAGUCGAACGGCAGCACAGUAAGAGCUUGCUCUUACGGGUGGCGAGUGGCGGACGGGUGAGGAAUACAUCGGAAUCUACUUUUUCGUGGGGGAUAACGUAGGGAAACUUACGCUAAUACCGCAUACGACCUACGGGUGAAAGCAGGGGAUCUUCGGACCUUGCGCGAUUGAAUGAGCCGAUGUCGGAUUAGCUAGUUGGCGGGGUAAAGGCCCACCAAGGCGACGAUCCGUAGCUGGUCUGAGAGGAUGAUCAGCCACACUGGAACUGAGACACGGUCCAGACGCCUACGGGAGGCAGCAGUGGGGAAUAUUGGACAAUGGGCGCAAGCCUGAUCCAGCCAUGCCGCGGGGGUGAAGAAGGCCUUCGGGUUGUAAAGCCCUUUUGUUGGGAAAGAAAAGCAGCAGGUUAAUACCCCGCUGUUCUGACGGUACCCAAAGAAUAAGCACCGGCGAACUUCGU
rnacentral:rRNA from 1 species